UGCAGUCGACGCUGAAGCCUGGUGCUUGCACCGGGUGGAUGAGUGGCGAACGGGUGAGUAACACGUGAGUAACCUGCCCCUGACUUCGGGAUAAGCCCGGGAAACUGGGUCUAAUACCGGAUACGACUGCCGGACGCAUGUCUGGUGGUGGAAAGUUUUUUCGGUUGGGGAUGGGCUCGCGGCCUAUCAGUUUGUUGGUGAGGUAAUGGCUCACCAAGACGACGACGGGUAGCCGGCCUGAGAGGGCGACCGGCCACACUGGGACUGAGACACGGCCCAGACUCCUACGGGAGGCAGCAGUGGGGAAUAUUGCACAAUGGGGGAAACCCUGAUGCAGCGACGCAGCGUGCGGGAUGACGGCCUUCGGGUUGUAAACCGCUUUCAGCAGGGAAGAAGCGCAAGUGACGGUACCUGCAGAAGAAGUACCGGCUAACUACGUGCCAGCAGCCGCGGUAAUACGUAGGGUACGAGCGUUGUCCGGAAUUAUUGGGCGUAAAGAGCUCGUAGGUGGUUGGUCACGUCUGCUGUGGAAACGCAACGCUUAACGUUGCGCGUGCAGUGGGUACGGGCUGACUAGAGUGCAGUAGGGGAGUCUGGAAUUCCUGGUGUAGCGGUGAAAUGCGCAGAUAUCAGGAGGAACACCGGUGGCGAAGGCGGGACUCUGGGCUGUAACUGACACUGAGGAGCGAAAGCAUGGGGAGCGAACAGGAUUAGAUACCCUGGUAGUCCAUGCCGUAAACGUUGGGCACUAGGUGUGGGGGGCAUUCCACGUUCUCCGCGCCGUAGCUAACGCAUUAAGUGCCCCGCCUGGGGAGUACGGUCGCAAGGCUAAAACUCAAAGGAAUUGACGGGGGCCCGCACAAGCGGCGGAGCAUGCGGAUUAAUUCGAUGCAACGCGAAGAACCUUACCAAGGCUUGACAUACACCGGACCGUCCUGGAAACAGGUCUUCUUCUUUGAAGCUGGUGUACAGGUGGUGCAUGGUUGUCGUCAGCUCGUGUCGUGAGAUGUUGGGUUAAGUCCCGCAACGAGCGCAACCCUCGUUCUAUGUUGCCAGCAUGUGAUGGUGGGAACUCAUAGGAGACUGCCGGGGUCAACUCGGAGGAAGGUGGGGAUGACGUCAAAUCAUCAUGCCCUUUAUGUCUUGGGCUUCACGCAUGCUACAAUGGCUGGUACAGAGAGAGGCGAACCCGUGAGGGCAAGCGAAUCCCUUAAAGCCAGUCUCAGUUCGGAUCGUAGUCUGCAAUUCGACUACGUGAAGUCGGAGUCGCUAGUAAUCGCAGAUCAGCAACGCUGCGGUGAAUACGUUCCCGGGCCUUGUACACACCGCCCGUCAAGUCACGAAAGUCGGUAACACCCGAAGCCGGUGGCCUAACCGUAAGGA
rnacentral:rRNA from 1 species